GACGAACGCUGGCGGCGUGCCUAAUACAUGCAAGUCGAACGCACAGUUUAUACCGUAGCUUGCUACACCAUAGACUGUGAGUUGCGAACGGGUGAGUAACGCGUAGGUAACCUGCCUGGUAGCGGGGGAUAACUAUUGGAAACGAUAGCUAAUACCGCAUAAUAUUAAUUAUUGCAUGAUAAUUAAUUUAAAGGUGCAAUUGCACCACUACCAGAUGGACCUGCGUUGUAUUAGCUAGUAGGUGAGGUAACGGCUCACCUAGGCGAGGAUACAUAGCCGACCUGAGAGGGGGAUCGGCCAAACUGGGACUGAGAAACGGCCCAGAAGCCUACGGGAGGCAGCAGUAGGGAAGCGUCGGAAAUGGAAGAAAGUCUGACCGAGCAACGCCGCGGGAGGGAAGAAGGGUGUCGGAUCGUAAAGCUCUGUUGUAAGAGAAGAACGGGUGUGAGAGUGGAAAGUUCACACUGUGACGGUAUCUGAACAGAAAGGGACGGCUAACUACGUG
rnacentral:rRNA from 1 species